UGCAGUCGAGCGAGACCUUCGGGUCUAGCGGCGGACGGGUUAGUAACGCGUGGGAAUAUACCCUUCACUACGGAAUAGCCUCGGGAAACUGGGAGUAAUACCGUAUACGCCCUUUUGGGGAAAGAUUUAUCGGUGAAGGAUUAGCCCGCGUCUGAUUAGAUAGUUGGUGGGGUAAUGGCCUACCAAGUCUACGAUCAGUAGCUGGUUUGAGAGGAUGAUCAGCAACACUGGGACUGAGACACGGCCCAGACUCCUACGGGAGGCAGCAGUGGGGAAUCUUAGACAAUGGGCGCAAGCCUGAUCUAGCCAUGCCGCGUGAGUGACGAAGGCCUUAGGGUCGUAAAGCUCUUUCGCCAGAGAUGAUAAUGACAGUAUCUGGUAAAGAAACCCCGGCUAACUCCGUGCCAGCAGCCGCGGUAAUACGGAGGGGGUUAGCGUUGUUCGGAAUUACUGGGCGUAAAGCGCACGUAGGCGGAUUGGAAAGUAUGGGGUGAAAUCCCAGGGCUCAACCCUGGAACUGCCUUGUAAACUCCCAGUCUAGAGUUCGAGAGAGGUGAGUGGAAUUCCAAGUGUAGAGGUGAAAUUCGUAGAUAUUUGGAGGAACACCAGUGGCGAAGGCGGCUCACUGGCUCGAUACUGACGCUGAGGUGCGAAAGUGUGGGGAGCAAAC
rnacentral:rRNA from 1 species